CUUGAUUUGGCCAACGGCGAAGGUCAACGGGCGAACCAAGAAUUUCAGAUUUGUCGUGAAACGAGAAAGUUCGUUUGCAAACGAGACAAGGAAAAGUCAAAUAUAUUCGCGAAUUCGCAGUUUUCCAACCGUUCGCAACGCCGGAUGCCGGAUCGUCAAUAUUUUGCACUCUCCUGGCAAACACAUAAUGUACGCCAGGGUGAAAGCGGACAAGCGGAUGUUUGAUUUGGAACCGGCACGUCCUCGUCGUCCACCAAUUUAUGUACACACUUACAUACGAGGUGCACUUGAAGAAGAACAUGCUGCGCGGCGCUUCCAGCUAGCGGGACAGGUAUAUGGACAAAUUCUUCGUGGUGAUCCCGAGAAAAGUGCAGGUCAUGGCCACGUUGUGCUGUGACAACUGCCGAGCGUGAAUUUACAGCCAGGACAAGACUGGAAUCCGGCUGACCGCGCUAGAGGAGUUCUCGUCCAAUAUAUUUGCAGGCCCUGCACGAGGAAAACUUGGCCGUUUGUCAAAACGCCAACGUGCAGGUCGUCUCAAAGAUUGCUUUGACGAUGAUGACGAGGACAAUGUCUGCAUUAAAGCGCAUUGUCCUCAAUGCCAACGAGGAGGCUCCUUUGAAUUUGAGGCGAUCAAAGACCCGAGGCUGCUGGGAGGAUGACGACUUCAUCGAGUUACGCAGCAGCAGCUUCCAGCUCAGGUCUCAUAGUUUAUUGCGAACAGAAAAAAAGUUAUCUAUCGUCAAGAUUUCUUUUGCAGCCAUCAUUCUACAGUCAAACGCAAGAACUGCUACUAAAGAUGAGAAGUGAAGUUUUUUUAAGGGUAAGAAAAACUGGAUCACCGGCUGUUGACCAUGGCAUUUUCAAUUUAUACAAAAUACAGUCAUUUCAAGGAAAGAGAAAACUGCUUCAAAGUCACAUCAAGAAUUUAGUUUAAAAAUUAAGAUACAAAUCGUGCAAAUAAGAUUUAAAAAUUUAUCUAGAAGAAGCUCAAUUUCUAUUAUAAGUCAGAUUGAAUUGUGAAGGCACCACCUAACGAAGGAUAUUAAUUUUUUCUACAAUACGAAAGUGUGACUGUCGGUUUUGAAUCUAUAGCUCACUAAACGAAUAACCCAGUGUGAGCUACUACUGAUUUAAGCACCAAAUGAAUGCGCAUGUAUUUGUGUUCUUGCAAUGAAAGUGAAUACUGAUAUUAAUCUGCAGUUUAACGUUUGUUUACCGUAUAUAAUAACGAACUUAGCAUAAAUCAAAUACCUAAGCUUUCAAAUUUGGAAGUUGCGUCGGCACUUCCUCAUUAGAAUUCAAGAACGCAUAUAUUAUUGUCACCUCUAAAGUAAAAAAGAGCAGAGAUUUUGAUUCCAACCGUUGGCAACGCCAGAUCGUCAAUAUUUUGCACUCCUGUAGCACUUUCGUCUUUCCAGCGCAUCUCGUUAUAGAUAAUUUCUUAGGACAAACACAUAAUAAUGUACGCCAUCAGGAUGAAAGCGGAUGUUUGAUUUGACCGUCCUCGUCGUCCACCAUAUUAAGUACACGUGUACGAGGUGCACUUGACGAAGAACAUGCUGCGCGGCGCUGUCAGCUAGCGGGACAGAUAUGUGGACAAAUUCUUCGUGGUGAUCCUGAGCAAAGUGCAGGCCAUGGCCACAUUGUGCUGUGACAACUGCUGAGCGCGAAUUUACAGCCAGGCAAGACUGGAAUCCGGUUGACCGCACUAGAGGAGUUCUUGUCCAAUAGUUGCAGGCCCUCCUGUACGAGGCCGUUUGUGAAAACACCAAUGUGGUUGUCUCCAAGAUUGCUUUAUGGUGAUGAUGACGAGGACAAUGUCUGCAUUGAAGCGCAUUGUCCUCAAUGCCAACGAGGAGGCUCCUUCGAGUUUGAGGCGAUCAAAGACCCGAGGCUGCUGGGAGGAUGACGACUUCAUCGAGUUACGCAGCAGCAGCUUCCAGCUCAGCCAUAAUUAUAUCAAUUCUACAGGCAAACGCAAGAACUCAUGCUACUGAAGAUGAGAAGUAAAGUUUUUUGAAGGGGUAAGAAAAACUGGAUCAACGACUGUUGACCAUGGAGUUUUCAAUUUAUAGAAAAUACAGUCAUUUCUCAAGGAAAAGAGAAAACUCUGCUUAAAGUUAUGUCAAGAAUUUAGUUUAAAAGUUAAGAUACCAUCGCACAAAUCGAGCAAAUAAGAUUUUAAAAUUUAUCUAGAGGUUAAGUUCAAUUCUAUUAUAAGUCAGAUUGAAUGUGUAAAGGCACCACCUAACGUAGAAUAUUAAUUUUGUUUCUACAAUAUAUUGUAGAAACAGGUUCACUUAUAUAUAUAUAUAAGUGAACCUGUCUGUUUUGAAUCUAUAGCUCGAUCACCAAACGAAUAACCUAGUGUGAGCUGUGAGCUACUCUGAUUUAGGCACCAAUUAAAUGAGUGCGCGUGUCUUGUGUUCCUGCAAUGAAAGUGAAUACUGACAUUAAUCUGCAGUUUAACGUUUAUUUGCCGUAUUAUAACGAACUUUGCAUAAAUCAAAUAGGCUUUCAAUAUGGAAGUUGCGUCGCUACUUCCUCAUUUGAAUUAUUGUCAACUAUAUAGUAAAAUUAAAGAGCAGAUCGAGAUUUCGAUUCCACACCUGCUGCGCGCUGAAACCUCGUUUUAAGAGUGAGAGUAUGUUUGGGAUUUUUAUUCCCACAUCCUCGGAACAAUACUCUGUAAGGCAUAAGGAAAACUACAGGACUUAUUGUUUGCUGCACAUACGGCGUUAAUGCAGAUGAGAUGCAUUAAAGCACACGAUUGUGUUGCCUUUUACCGCGUGUGCCGAUUGACGCCGCUGCUGAGAAACAAUUUCUAUUUUUUUCGUCAUUUAAGAUGCUUUUUGCUGUAGCUUGCAUGAAUUAAAUUAUUUCUGCCAGUUUCGUUGAGUGCGAGAAAGAUAAACGCUAAAGGUCCAGUUACAAUAUUUAUAUGCUAAUCGCCUUACCACUUUUGGAUGUGAUUUUUUUUUUAACUAAUAACUGCUCGCAGAGAGGAUUAUCCUAUUUACUAAUGAGUAUUUUAUAACUAUAUUAAACAGCUUUUGAAUGUUAAUGGUUUUUUAAGUUGCAUUCAUUUAUGGCAAAAGGUGCAAAACUAAAUAAUAUAUAUUAGAUGUUGAUUAUAUAUUAAUUUAAAAAUAUAAUUUAUCGUAAUUUAUAUUGUUGGUAUUUAUUGUCUCAUGAGGCAGCCCAACACACAAAACAUUACAAACAAUAUUCUGAAAUGUAAAACGCAUGUUUUAAAAUUUUGCAUAUAGUGCCUAUAAUUUCUUUUGAUGGAAUUUUUAUAUAACUCUUGUUAAAAUUCUAAAUGGUUUUGAUUUGUUUAAUUAAUAAAUUUAAAUGUGCUGGAUUUAUAAGGGAAAAAAUUCCUGAAGCUUUAAUUCAAAAAUUAAUUUAAUAGUUCAAAACGGAGCAGUGAUUGAUAUGUAAAUUUU